GUCGCGCUAACGGGCCGGCGUCGCCGCUAGGGGACGCUCGGGCAGCAGGGUGGUCGCUGGGUCGUGAGCUGGCGCCGAGGACGCCGAGCGACUGCUGGGCUUCCGUCAGCGUCCUGCUAUCCGGCUGCCCGCCGCGCUCCCUGGUAGUGUCCGUGGAUGCGCAGGCCUUGAAAAACCUCCUCGCGGCGGGCCCCCGAGGUAACUGCUGAGGCAGAUAAUGGCGCCUGGACUGCGGUGGCGCUUGCCCUGCCGCCUGGCGGCUUUCUGCAGGGCCAGGGUAUACUUUUUUUUCUGUAAACCAACUCUUCCUUAGCGCAGGAGAGGUGUCAAAGCGCCGGCGCGUCUCCAGAGCCCCGGGAGGAAGGCUGCAACGGCAGCCCCAUCGUAGACAGGGACAUUCGCAUCCCGAGCCCUGGAUCUCUGAAAAGCAGACCAGAAUUUGGAAGCUGGAAGGAACCUUAGAUCGUCCAUUCUGGGUGUCUCUCUUCGCUGGCGUUUUCCCACGAGAGGAACCUACAAGUGUCAAGGAAAAAAGGACAGCUAACCACAGAGCAGGCCACGGGCAAGAUAUCUCAGUGUUCUCCGCUCUCAGGUCAGGUCGUGAUCCCCAGGGGACCUGGAGGACUGAAUGAUGCUGCCCCCGAGGAGACUGCUGUCUUGUCUUAGGAGGGAGAGCAGGUGAAGUCCCCAUGGGAGGAAGCACCUAGCCCCAUUCCUGCUGAGCAAGAAGAGGUGGCAGGGACCCCAGACUGGGAGGUAAGGACAGCCCGGGGCUUCAACUGGAAUGUCUCCAGCAUGGGUCCGACUGAGCAGCCACGGAGCACUGCAGAGUGGGAGGCAGCGGGGCAGGGAGGCAGUACUGGAGGCUGGCUCAACCUUAAGACCAGCAGGCCAAGCUGCUGUCCCAGGGGAGUGAGGACAUCUGUGCAGAGCUGAGAGGCAGCAGCCAUGUGUGAACAGACUGCGCCUCAUCCUGGCCCCACCGACUUCUUGUAGACAGAGCCUGUUUCCCUGUCUGUGUAACACAGAACCUGCCUGAUCUCACUGCUGGGUUCCUCUUCCUCCUGCCAGGAAAAUAAAAAGGUUCAAAAGGAAAUUGCUGGGUAUCCA
rnacentral:lncRNA from 1 species